UGGGGAAUUUUGGACAAUGGGCGCAAGCCUGAUCCAGCAAUGCCGCGUGCAGGAAGAAGGCCUUCGGGUUGUAAACUGCUUUUGUCAGGGAAGAAAUCUUCUGGGCUAAUACCCCGGGAGGAUGACGGUACCUGAAGAAUAAGCACCGGCUAACUACGUGCCAGCAGCCGCGGUAAUACGUAGGGUGCGAGCGUUAAUCGGAAUUACUGGGCGUAAAGCGUGCGCAGGCGGCUUUGCAAGACAGAGGUGAAAUCCCCGGGCUCAACCUGGGAACUGCCUUUGUGACUGCAAGGCUAGAGUACGGCAGAGGGGGUUGGAAUGCCGCGUGUAGCAGUGAAAUGCGUAGAUAUGCGGAGGAACACCGAUGGCGAAGGCAAUCCCCUGGGCCUGUACUGACGCUCAUGCACGAAAGCGUGGGGGGCAAACAGG
rnacentral:rRNA from 1 species